rnacentral:rRNA from 1 species
UACGUAGGGUGCGAGCGUUGUCCGGAAUUAUUGGGCGUAAAGGGCUCGUAGGCGGUCUGUCACGUCGGGAGUGAAAACUCGGGCUCAACCCCGAGCCUGCUUCCGAUACGGGCAGACUAGAGGUAUGCAGGGAGAAUGGAAUUCCUGGUGUAGCGGUGAAAUGCGCAGAUAUCAGGAGGAACACCGGUGGCGAAGGCGGUCUCUGGGCAUUACCUGACGCUGAGGAGCGAAAGUGUGGGAGCGAACAGG